UACGGGGGGGGCAAGCGUUGUUCGGAAUUACUGGGCGUAAAGGGCUCGUAGGUGGCCAACUAAGUCAGACGUGAAAUCCCUCGGCUUAACCGGGGAACUGCGUCUGAUACUGGAUGGCUUGAGGUUGGGAGAGGGAUGCGGAAUUCCAGGUGUAGCGGUGAAAUGCGUAGAUAUCUGGAGGAACACCGGUGGCGAAGGCGGCAUCCUGGACCAAUUCUGACGCUGAGGAGCGAAAGCCAGGGGAGCAAAGCGGG
rnacentral:rRNA from 1 species